CACAAGGCCCCUUUAGGCAGAGCUUAGACCAGAGUUACAUCACCUGGAUGAUCAUUGCAGAGAUAUGUCACAAUGUCCCCAUAGGCAAAUCCAAGACAAGCGUUCGUCACCUGGGUGAUCAUUGCAGAAAUAUGUGACAAUGCCCUCAGGAGGCGGAGCCUACAGAAGAGUCCAAUCACCUGCGUGAUCAGUGCAGAGAUAUUUCACAAUGCCCCUGCAGGCAGAGUGUAAGCAAGAGUUACAUCACCUAGAUGAUCAGUGCAGAGAUAUGUCACAAGGCCCCCUAUACGCAGAGUCGGACAAGAGUUACAUCACCUCAGUGAUCAAUGCAGUGAUAUGUCACUAUGCCCCGUAGGCAGAGCCUAGUCAAGCGUUACAUCACCUGGGUGAUUACUGCAGAGAUAUGUCACAAAGUCCCCAUACACAGAGCCUAGACAAGAGUCCCAUCACCUGGGUGAUCAGUGCAGAAAUAUGUCACAAUGCCCCUAUAGGCCGAUCGAAGACAAGAGUCCUUCACCUGGGUGAUCAGUGCAGAAAUAUGUCACAAUGCCCCCUUAGGCAGAGCCUAGAUAAAAGCCCCAUCACCUGGAUGAUCAGUGCAGAGUUAUGUCACAAAUUCCCUUUAGGCAGAUCCUAGAGAAAGGUUACAUCACUUGGAUGAUCAGUGCAGAGAUAUGUCACUAUGCUACAGUAGGCAGAGCCUAGACUAGAGUUACAUGACCUCGGUGAUCAGUGCAGAGAUACAUCGCAAUGUCCCUGUAGGCAGAGCCUUGACAAGUGGUACAUCACCUGGGUGAUCAUUGCAGGGAUAUGUCACAAAGCACCCUGUAGGCAGAUCCUAGAAAAGAGUUACAUCACCUGGGUGAUCAGUGCAGAGAUAUGUCACAAUGCCACUAUAGGUAGAGCCUAGAAAAGAUUUACAUGACCUAGGUGAUCAGUGCAGAGAUACAUCGCAAUGCCCCUGUAGGCAGAGCCUUGACAAGUGGUAUAUCACCUGGGUGACCAUUGCAUUGAUAUGUCACAAAGCACCCUAUAGGGAGAUCCUAGAGAAGAGUUAUAUCACCUGGGUGGUCAGUGCAGAGUUAUGUCACAAGCCCCUGUAGGCAGAGCCUAGACAAGAGUUAUAACACCUGGGUGAUCAGUGCAGUGAUAUGUCACAAUGCCGUAUAGCCAGAGCCUAGACUAAAGUUACAGCACCUGGGAGAUAAGUGCAGAGAUAUGUCACAAAGUCCCCAGUAGGCAGAGACCAGGUAAGAGUUGGAUCAUCUCGGGAUCAGUGCAGAGAUAUGUCUCAAUCCCCCUGUGGGCACAGCCUAGACAAGAGUUACAUCACCUCGUUUAACAGUGCAGAGAUAUGUCAAAAUGCCCCUGUAGGCAGAGCCUACACAAGUGUUACAUCACUUAGGUGAUCAGUGCAGAUAUAUGUCACAAUACCCCCUGUAAGCAGAGCCUAGACAAGAGUUACAUCACCUGGGUGAUCAGUGCAGAGAUAUGUGACAAGGCCCCUUUAAGCAGAACCUAGACAAUUGUUACAUCACCUGAGUGAUCAGUGCGGAGAACUGUCAAAAUGCCCCUUUAGGCAGAGCUUAGAUCAGAGUUACACCGCCUGGGUGAUCAGUGCAGAGAUAUCUCACAAUACCCACUGUAAGCAGAGCCUAGACAAGAGUUACAUCACCUGGGUGAUCAGUGCAGAGAUAUGUCAUAAAUCCCACUGUAGGCAAAGCCUAGACAAGUUUUACAUCACCUCAGCGAAAAGUGCAGAGAUAUAUCCCAAUGUCCCUCUAGGCAGAGCUUAGCCAAGAGUCACAUCUCCUGGGUGAUCAGUGCAGAGAUAAGUCACACUGCCCCCAUUGGCAGAGCCUAGAGAAGAGUUAUAUGACUGGGGUGAUCCGUGCAGAGUGAUAUCACAACGCCCUCUGUAGCCACAGAGUAGAAAAUAGUUACAUCACCUGGGUGAUCAGUGCAGAGAUAUGUCACAAUGCCCCUGUAGGUAGAGCAUAGAGAACAGUUGCAUCACCUGGGUGAUCAGUGCAGAAAUAUGUGACAAUGCCUCCAGUAGGCAGA
rnacentral:lncRNA from 1 species